GAUGAACGCUGGCGGCGUGCCUAAUACAUGCAAGUCGAACGCAUAGCGAAAGGUGCUUGCACCUUUCAAGUGAGUGGCGAACGGGUGAGUAACACGUGGACAACCUGCCUCAAGGCUGGGGAUAACAUUUGGAAACAGAUGCUAAUACCGAAUAAAACUUAGUGUCGCAUGACACAAAGUUAAAAGGCGCUUCGGCGUCACCUAGAGAUGGAUCCGCGGUGCAUUAGUUAGUUGGUGGGGUAAAGGCCUACCAAGACAAUGAUGCAUAGCCGAGUUGAGAGACUGAUCGGCCACAUUGGGACUGAGACAUGGCCCAAACUCCUACGGGAGGCUGCAGUAGGGAAUCUUCCACAAUGGGCGAAAGCCUGAUGGAGCAACGCCGCGUGUGUGAUGAAGGCUUUCGGGUCGUAAAGCACUGUUGUAUGGGAAGAACAGCUAGAAUAGGAAAUGAUUUUAGUUUGACGGUACCAUACCAGAAAGGGACGGCUAAAUACGUG
rnacentral:rRNA from 1 species